rnacentral:sRNA from 1 species
UCUUCGGUAGUAUAGUGGUCAGUAUCCCCGCCUGU